rnacentral:rRNA from 1 species
UACGUAGGGGGCAAGCGUUGUCCGGAUUCAUUGGGCGUAAAGAGCGUGUAGGCGGCCAGGUAGGUCGGUUGUGAAAACUGGAGGCUCAACCUUCAGAGGUCGACCGAAAACCAUCUGGCUAGAGUCCGGGAAGAGGAGAGUGGAAUUCCUGGUGUAGCGGUGGAAUGCGCAGAUAUCAGGAAGGAACACCCAUGGCGAAGGCGGUCUCGUGGGACGGUACUGACGCUAAGGCGCGAAAAGCGUGGGGAGCGAACAGG